rnacentral:rRNA from 1 species
AUUGAACGCUAGCGGGAUGCUUUACACAUGCAAGUCGAACGAGUGGCGGACGGGUGAGUAAUAUAUCGGAAAGUGCCCAGUAGCGGGGGAUAACUACUCGAAAGAGUGGCUAAUACCGCAUACUAUCGGAGCAGCCGAUAUCGGAUUAGCUAGUUGGUGGGGUAAAGGCUCACCAAGGCAACGAUCCGUAGCUGGUCUGAGAGGACGACCAGCCACACUGGGACUGAGACACGGCCCAGACUCCUACGGGAGGCGGCAGUGGGGAAUUUUGGACAAUGGGGGAAACCCUGAUCCAGCCAUCCCGCGUGUAUGAGAAGGCCUUCGGGUUGUAAAGUACUUUUGGCGGGGAAGCGGUAUCUGCAGAAUAAGCACCGGCUAACUACGUGCCAGCAGCCGCGGUAAUAC